AUGAUCCUACGGGAGGCAGCAGUGGGGUAUAUUGCACAAUGGGGGAAACCCUGAUGCAGCGACGCCGCGUGUGGGAAGACGGUCCUCUGGAUUGUAAACCACUGUCCCCAGGGACGAAGAUGACGGUACCUGGGGAGGAAGCUCCGGCUAAAUACGUGCCAGCAGCCGCGGUAAUACGUAGGGAGCGAGCGUUGUCGGGAAUUACUGGGUGUAAAGGGAGUGUAGGCGGGGAUG
rnacentral:rRNA from 1 species